rnacentral:rRNA from 1 species
UGGGGAAUAUUGGGCAAUGGGCGCAAGCCUGAUGCAGCAACGCCGCGUGAACGAUGAAGGUCUUCGGAUCGUAAAGUUCUGUUGCAGGGGAAGAUAAUGACGGUACCCUGUGAGGAAGCCCCGGCUAACUACGUGCCAGCAGCCGCGGUAAUACGUAGGGGGCUAGCGUUAUCCGGAUUUACUGGGCGUAAAGGGUGCGUAGGUGGUCUUUCAAGUCGGUGGUUAAAGGCUACGGCUCAACCGUAGUUAGCCUCCGAAACUGGAAGACUUGAGUGCAGGAGAGGAAAGUGGAAUUCCCAGUGUAGCGGUGAAAUGCGUAGAUAUUGGGAGGAACACCAGUAGCGAAGGCGGCUUUCUGGACUGCAACUGACACUGAGGCACGAAAGCGUGGGUAGCAAACAGG